UUUCAGUUUUUGGCUACAUCGUUUAACAUUUGACUCUUCAUUUUAUUUAAAAAUUUUCAAUGAUUAGUAUUUUGUUAUAAUUAUUAGAUGAUAAAACAUGAAUAGUAUUUUAUGCAUGACUAAUUUUUAUUUUUUAUAAAUUUUUCAAACGAAACGGACGAUCAAAUGUUGAAUACAGAAAA
rnacentral:pre_miRNA from 1 species